rnacentral:rRNA from 1 species
AUCGAACGCUGGCGGAAUGCUUUACACUUGCAAGUCGAACGGUAGAGGGGGCAACCCCUCGAGAGUGGCGAACGGGUGAGUAAUAUAUCGGAACGUGCCCAGUCGUGGGGGAUAACGUAGCGAAAGUUACGCUAAUACCGCAUACGAUCUAAGGAUGAAAGCGGGGGAUCGCAAGACCUCGCGCGAUUGGAGCGGCCGAUAUCAGAUUAGGUAGUUGGUGGGGUAAAGGCUCACCAAGCCAACGAUCUGUAGCUGGUCUGAGAGGGCGACCAGCCACACUGGAACUGAGACACGGUCCAGACUCCUACGGGAGGCAGCAGUGGGGAAUUUUGGACAAUGGACGCAAGUCUGAUCCAGCCAUUCCGCGUGCAGGAUGAAGACCCUCGGGUUGUAAACUGCUUUUGUACGGAGCGAAAAGGUCUCUCUUAAUACGGGGGGCUCAUGACGGUACCGUAAGAAUAAGCACCGGCUAACUACGUGCCAGCCGCCGCAGUAA